rnacentral:rRNA from 1 species
ACGCUCGACACCUACGGGAGGCAGCAGUGAGGAAUAUUGGUCAAUGGGCGCUAGCCUGAACCAGCCAAGUAGCGUGAAGGAUGAAGGCUCUAUGGGUCGUAAACUUCUUUUAUAUAAGAAUAAAGUGCAGUAUGUAUACUGUUUUGUAUGUAUUAUAUGAAUAAGGAUCGGCUAACUCCGUGUCAGCAGCCGCGGUAAUCUGAGCGGGGCUGGCAAGGC